UGGGAUCAAAACAAAGACACAGUGAACUCCUAGCAUCAUCUUUGGGAUUACUCAGGAACCAGAACGUUUCAUACAAAUAUAAGAAAUUCUACCAAGGAAUCCCUUAACCUAACAGCAUUUCACAAGGCUCCAGUCAGAAAAGGCUACUUGAUACAUCAAGAUAGACCCUA
ensembl:misc_RNA predicted gene, 27624